CCUCGACCUAACACAUGCAAGUCGAACGAAGGCUUCGGCCUUAGUGGCCGUAACUGCGCACGGGUGAGUAAACUGACCCAGUAGCCUUAUGGUCCAGACGUCUGGAAACGGACGCUAACCGUGACCCGAGUAUGCCCUUCGGGGCCAAUGCAGUAGUGAGAGGGGCCCGCCAAAUGACCAGUCCAGUAGAGUUGGUCCGUGACGAUGGCGCCGACGAUCCCGUGAACGUCUGAGAGGAUGAUCCCAGUAGAGCCACACUGGGACUGCCGUGAUAGACUCCGGGAGGCAGCACCAGUACACGUAUUGGACAAUGGGCGCAAGCCUGAUCCACCGUGCAAUUAUGGAAUGAAGGCCCAGUAGAAAGCUCUUUCGCCAGUAGAUGAUGCCAGUGACAGGAGAACCAUAAGAAGCCCCGGCUAACUCCAGUCAGCAGCCGCGGUAAUACGACCAGUAGACAGCGUUCCAGUAGACCUGGGCGUAACCAGUGAGCGUAGGCGGCCUGCCAGUGACAAUAGAUAGUGAAAGCCCCACCGGGCUCAACCCCAGUAGAUACUGGCAGGCUUCCAGUGAUGACCAGAUGGUGGAAUUCCCAGUCAGUGACUGAGUAGCCGACCAGUUGGGAAGAACACCGGUGGCGAAGGCGGCCCCAGUGACAUCACUGACGCUGAGGCGCGACCAGUAGCCAGUAGAAACAGGAUUAGAUACCCUCCAGUGACCCAGUAGCACGAUGAACCAGUAGUCGGGGUGCACCAGUGACCAGUAGAACGCCGCUCCCCAGUAGGGUAGUUCCGCCAGUAGACGGCCGCCCAGUCCAGUAGAAAAUUGACGGGCCAGUAGACCCGCACAAGCGGCCAGUAGAGUGGUUUAAUCCGUGACCAGUAGCCAGUAGUUACCAACCCUUGACAUGUCCAUUAUGGGCUCCAGUGACGAGAUGGCGUCCUUCAGUUCGGCCAGUAGAAGGUGCUGCAUGGCUGUCGUCAGCCAGUAGUGAGAUGUUGGGUUAAGUCCAGUAGACCGAGCGCAACCCCUACCCAGUAGGCCAUCCAUUCAGCCAGUCACCAGUAGAGAACCGCCGGUGACACCAGAAGGCGGGGAUGACGCCAGUAGCAGUCCUCAUGGCCCUUAUGCCAGUAGACACACGUGCUACAAUGGCGGUCCAGUAGUGAAGCGAAGAAUAGAACGAUGGAGCCAAUCCCCAAAACUGACCUCAGUUCGGAUCGUACUCUGCAACUCGAGUGCCCAGUGAUGGAAUCGCUAGUAAUCGCGCCAGUGCCAGUAGGUACGCGGUGAAUACGUUCCCCAGUGACACACACCGCCCGUCACACCAUGGUUGGUUAACCGUAGAUCGAAGGUGGUGCCCAGUAGAACGGAGGCAGCCAACCACGGU
rnacentral:rRNA from 1 species